ensembl:snRNA U6 U6 spliceosomal RNA
GUGCUCGCUUCGGCAGCACGUAUACUAAAAUUGCAACGAUACAGAGAAGCUUAGCAUGGCCCCUGC